rnacentral:rRNA from 1 species
AUUGAACGCUGGCGGCAGGCCUAACACAUGCAAGUCGAACGAGUGGCGGACGGGUGAGUAAUGUCUGGGAAACUGCCUGAUGGAGGGGGAUAACUACUGGAAACGGUAGCUAAUACCGCAUACCAUCGGAUCGGCCCAAAUGGGAUUAGCUAGUGGGUGGGGGAACGGCUCACCAGGGCGACGAUCCCUAGCUGGUUGGAGAGGAUGACCAGCCACACUGGAACGGAGCCACGGUCCAGACUCCUACGGGAGGCAGCAGUGGGGAAUAUUGCACAAUGGGCGCAAGCCUGAUGCAGCCAUGCCGCGUGUAUGAAGAAGGCCUUCGGGUUGUAAAGUACUUUCAGCGGGGAGGCGUUACCCGCAGAAGAAGCACCGGCUAACUCCGUGCCAGCCGCCGCGGUAAUUC